GACAGAGGGUGCUAGCGUUGUUCGGAAUUACUGGGCGUAAAGAGCGCGCAGGCGGUCGUUCAAGUCGCGUGUGAAAGCCCCCGGCUCAACUGGGGAGGGUCACGCGAUACUGAUCGACUCGAAGGCAGGAGAGGGUAGUGGAAUUCCCGGUGUAGUGGUGAAAUGCGUAGAUAUCGGGAGGAACACCAGUGGCGAAGGCGACUACCUGGCCUGUUCUUGACGCUGAGGCGCGAAAGCUAGGGGAGCAAACGGG
rnacentral:rRNA from 1 species